GAUGAACGCUGGCGGCGUGCCUAAUACAUGCAAGUCGAGCGAACAGACGAGGAGCUUGCUCCUCUGACGUUAGCGGCGGACGGGUGAGUAACACGUGGAUAACCUACCUAUAAGACUGGUAUAACUUCGGGAAACCGGAUCUAAUACCGGAUAAUAUAUUGAACCGCAGUGUUCAAUAGUGAAAGACGGUUUUGCUGUCUCUUCUAGAUGGAUCCGCGCCGCAUUAGCUAGUUGGGAAGGUAACGGCUUAUCAAGGCAAGGAUGCGUAGCCGAACUGAGAGGGUGAUCGGCCACACUGGAACUGAGACACGGUCCAGACUCCUACGGGAGGCAGCAGUAGGGAAUCUUCCGCAAUGGGCGGAAGCCUGACGGAGCGACGCCGCGUGAGUGAUGAAGGUCUUCGGAUCGUAAAACUCUGUUAUUAGGGAAGAACAAAUGUGUAAGUAACUAUGCACGUCUUGACGGUACCUAAUCAGAAAGCCACGGCUAACUACGUG
rnacentral:rRNA from 1 species